GGGGAAAAAAAGAAGAAAAAAGGGAAAAAAAAGAAGAAAAAAGGGGAAAAAAAAGAAAGAAAAAAAAGAAAAAACAAAGAAGAAAAACAAAGAAGAAAAACAAAGAAGAAAAACAAAGAAGAAAAACAAAGAAGAAAAACAGAAGAAAAACAGAAGAAAAAAAGAAAAAAAGAAAAAAAAAGAAGAAAAAACAAAAAAAAAAAAAAAAGAGAGAGGGGAAAGAAA
rnacentral:rRNA from 1 species